rnacentral:snoRNA from 1 species
UCUCUCAGCUCCGCUUAAUCAUACUCGGUGUGUGGUUGGCGUGUUUUCAGAGAGAGAGA